rnacentral:rRNA from 1 species
UACAGAGGUCUCAAGCGUUGUUCGGAUUCAUUGGGCGUAAAGGGUGCGUAGGCGGCGCGGUAAGUCGGGUGUGAAAUCUCGGAGCUUAACUCCGAAACUGCAUUCGAUACUGCCGUGCUUGAGGACUGGAGAGGAGACUGGAAUUUACGGUGUAGCGGUGAAAUGCGUAGAUAUCGGGAGGAACACCAGUGGCGAAGGCGCCUUCCUGGCCUGUAACUGACGCUGGAUACGCGAAAGCGUGGGGAGCAAACCGG